UGGAUGCAUCUGGCCCAGGGUCUCCACAAGCUACAAGUAGGCCAGGACUGCAGUCAUCUCAAGGCUUGACUGCAGGAGGAUGGAGGAUUCACUUCCGAGCUCACUCUUGUGGCUAUUGGUAGACCCCAAGUCCUCGUUGGCUGUUGGCCAGAGACAACAACUCCUGCCACAAGAUCUUCGUGGGCAGCUCACAACAUGGCAGCUGGCUGCUCUCAGAGCAAGCAGGCCAGAGAGUGAGAGAGGAUACAGAUAAAGCUAACAUCAUCUGGGCUUCACCAUUCUUCUCCAUCCUGAAGAAAACAGAUAAUCUGGCCCCAAGACCACAAGGAAGACACUGAACUGCAAAAACAAGUGUAUCACAAACCAGGUAACCUCCUUUUCCCUUGUAGGCCCUGUUUGGAAUUAUCAUGGGAGCACUGAAGGUAUGUGAUGGUAUAACCCCUGGGAUCUAGGAAUGUCAGAAUCCUGCCUUGCCAAACAUCUCUUUCUCUCUACCUCCACACUAAGGUUCCCCAAGUGAUUUUCCCAUAUAAGGAAUAACAAAUAGCAAUCAAAGUAACCCUAUAAUUAUAACUGGGCCAAUUUCCAAAAGGGAAUUUCCAAAGACCUCUGCCUUCCCACCAAAGGCUGAAUCUCAAUCUUGGGACUUCACCCCAUACCAGCCAGCCACAUGUUAGAAGGGGCUAAUGGAAAGGUAUAAGGCAGAAAAGGGAGAAAAUGAAAAGGGACAAAAACAGAGCUAAUGAACAAAGAAGAGACCUUGCUCCCCAAAGGGACCCCAAAUCACUUUAUCAGUGCCCCUCCCUGGAAUUGGAAGUCAAGAGAGAAUGUGGCUUGCCUAACCUGAAGAGCCAGGUCUGUUUCAACUGACACACCUCCCAAAUGGAAGAGAAGUAACAGAAAAUGAAUGUGUGCCUGUCAGUAGACCACAGUGCAGGCUCCAGGUAAGCACAGAGCCAUGAACACCCCUGAACUUGAGCAGGGAAGUGCAGACUAUGGCCCACAGGCCAUCCUCAGCCUGCUACCCGGCCCACAAGCUAAGAAAGAUUUUGCAUGGCCCACAAGCUAAGAAAGAGUUUACAUUUUAAAACAAUUAGAGAAAAAAUGAUAAAAGAAUAAACAUUUUAUGGAUUGCUUCA
rnacentral:lncRNA from 13 species